rnacentral:rRNA from 1 species
AUUGAACGCUGGCGGCGUGCCUUACACAUGCAAGUCGAACGGUAACAGGUCUUCGGAUGCUGACGAGUGGCGAACGGGUGAGUAAUACAUCGGAACGUGCCCGAUCGUGGGGGAUAACGAGGCGAAAGCUUUGCUAAUACCGCAUACGAUCUACGGAUGAAAGCGGGGGAUCUUCGGACCUCGCGCGGACGGAGCGGCCGAUGGCAGAUUAGGUAGUUGGUGGGAUAAAAGCUUACCAAGCCGACGAUCUGUAGCUGGUCUGAGAGGAUGAUCAGCCACACUGGGACUGAGACACGGCCCAGACUCCUACGGGAGGCAGCAGUGGGGAAUUUUGGACAAUGGGCGAAAGCCUGAUCCAGCCAUGCCGCGUGCAGGAUGAAGGCCUUCGGGUUGUAAACUGCUUUUGUACGGAACGAAAAGCCUCUUUCUAAUAAAGAGGGGUCAUGACGGUACCGUAAGAAUAAGCACCGGCUAACUACGUG